rnacentral:rRNA from 1 species
UACGUAGGGUGCAAGCGUUAAUCGGAAUUACUGGGCGUAAAGCGUGCGCAGGCGGUUGUGUAAGACAGAUGUGAAAUCCCCGGGCUCAACCUGGGAACUGCAUUUGUGACUGCACGGCUCGAGUGCGGCAGAGGGGGAUGGAAUUCCGCGUGUAGCAGUGAAAUGCGUAGAUAUGCGGAGGAACACCGAUGGCGAAGGCAAUCCCCUGGGCCUGCACUGACGCUCAUGCACGAGAGUGUGGGGAGCGAACAGG